UGCCCCAUGGCCCAGCUGGUUAAGGCGUCUGACUGUUAGCUCAUGAGCAAUCAGAAGAUCGAGAGUUCGAGUCUCUCUGGGGCAG